rnacentral:rRNA from 1 species
UACGGAGGGAGCUAGCGUUGUUCGGAAUUACUGGGCGUAAAGCGCACGUAGGCGGCGAUUCAAGUCAGAGGUGAAAGCCCGGGGCUCAACCCCGGAACUGCCUUUGAAACUAGAUUGCUAGAAUCCUGGAGAGGUGAGUGGAAUUCCGAGUGUAGAGGUGAAAUUCGUAGAUAUUCGGAAGAACACCAGUGGCGAAGGCGACUCACUGGACAGGUAUCGACGCUGAGGUGCGAAAGCGUGGGGAGCAAACAGG